UUAAGUCCCGUAACGAGCGCAACCCUUGUCCUUAGUUACCAGCACGUUAUGGUGGGCACUCUAAGGAGACUGCCGGUGACAAACCGAGGAAGUGGGGAUGACGUCAAGUCAUCAUGGCCCUUACGGCCUGGGCUACACACGUGCUACAAUGGUCGGUACAAAGGGUUGCCAAGCCGCGAGGUGGAGCUAAUCCCAUAAAACCGAUCGUAGUCCGGAUCGCAGUCUGCAACUCGACUGCGUGAAGUCGGAAUCGCUAGUAAUCGUGAAUCAGAAUGUCACGGUGAAUACGUUCCCGGGCCUU
rnacentral:rRNA from 1 species